AUGGGGAGCGGUGCUCACCGUGGGGUGGCAGAGGGGGGCUUGGGGCAGAGGGGGAGGUGGUGCCCCGCUUCGGUGGUGACCAGCGGCGGCAGAUGCGCAGGAGGGAACCGGCGGCGGACGGCCCGGUGGGGGAUGGCUAUGGCAGGGGAGGACGGCCCGGUGGCGGUCGCGCCAUUGGAGGAGGACGGGUGGGGGGCGCAGUGGACAACGGUCCCGACGGCGGCGCGGUGGAGGCGGGGACCAGCUGCGGCGGCGCGGUGGAGGUGGAGAAAGGCGGCGGCGGCGCGGUGGAGCCGGGGACGGGCGGUGGCGGCGGCGCGGUGCUGCCGGGGACGAGCGGGGAUACCUAGCGCGCGCGUCGCAUCUAAGCCGCAGCAGCCACGCCGCGUCGCCGCCAAGAUGCUAGCCCGCCGUGCCGCCAGACCCCGCGCUAGCCCGAUGCCUCUUCGCAAUCUGGUCGUCCCCCGCCGCCCAAGACGCUCCAAGGGGGAGAGCUACCCCGCCGCCGUCCAGUCGGCCAACCUUUGCCCGCGAAGAUGCGGACGGCGGCGAGAAGAAGUGGAGACGGAGGAGGGCCGAGAGGACGGCGACUAUGGUUCCCCCUUGGUCGCCCGUGGUGGCGACACGAGGGGGACGAGGAAAAACUCCCCCAAGUUUCUCUCGUUUCUAACUACUGCACCCUCGGAGCACCAAAAAUGCUACAUUUACGGGCCUGCUACAAAAGCUCCCUUUCCUACUCCUGCACGCAAGCGGUCCCCUUUCUCCCACGCCACCGCUCGCGCUCGGCCGCUGCCGCCGCCUCUCCCAUCCCAGAUCCUUCUGCUCCGGGCGCCCCAGGUCCCCUUUCUAUUUCUCGUUGAUCUGCGGCAACUCCUUUCUCGGCUACUUCUUCAAGCGAUGACCACAACAAGGCAUGGCUGCAGGCGACGAAGGAGGGAGCGUCCGGACGUGGUAGCCGCAGGAGGAAGGGAUGGGGGAGAGAUACAACCCCAGUGGUCAUCCAGAUCCGGAAUGUAUAUUAGAUCUCCGAGGUUGAACUUGCAAAAGAUGCCGCUGAAUGAGUGGCACUUGUUUGAACACUGGCCAGAACCCAGCAUGGUCAAGAAAAGCUUCUUUGGCCCGUCUGACCAGUGCAUCUUUAUCUUCAUCCGUUUUCAUCGAUAUUCUACUCAAGCGAUUCUGGAGUUUCAAAGCAGCCCUAUAAUGCAGAUCAUUUUAGAUGGAUAUAGAACGACAGAUGUAACCACCCCAAGGAUGAUUAGUCGCAGCUCAUCUUCUAUCAUGAGUUUCUUAUUUGCAGGUGAUGAUCUUGCUGCAACUUGCUUGCUGCCUUGGUUUACAGGUUGGCAACCAAUAACCGGAGCACAGCUGUCAACUUAUUUUAUUCAUUGGCCAGACUACGAAGCAUGGAAAGAACAGCCAGAAGAAAAUAUCCAACCCAAGCGCCCGUCCUUCGCCGCCGCAGCCACGACGUCACGGCCUGCUCCUCGUGGUGGCCGCGCCGGUGCUCUGCGUCCGUCGUCGGCCGGCGCGCCCACUGCGUCCGCGCUCCUCCGCCCCGACGCCGACUAUCUCAACCCUCUCUCCAACCCUAACCCUCUCCCUCCCUCAGAUCUCAAUACGCCGCCGCCCCUAUCCCUACCCCCGCGUAGCCCAACCCAAUCCGCCGCCGUCCUCUACCCAGACCCCUCCCCGCUUCGGCGAGCCCGCCAUGAACCGUGUGCGGGCGGCAGCGCAGCGGGAGCAGCACGGGCUUCACCUCCCCGGGCCGUGUCUCCCCUCCUCCUCCACCUCCUUCGCGGCCUCCCUCCCGGGCACCGCCCAACAGCAGUCUCGACAGGGACGACCUGGACCCGGACCCGGUCGCGGCUACCACGGAGGACCUCGCAACGGUCGACCUCUCCGAAGACCCGGAUGCCACCGCCACCGCCAAGUCCGGCUCCAGCAAGCCCCGUCAGGCAGCCAGAGGCGGCGGCUGCGACGUGGCCCCGUCGUCAACGUCAACCCACAAACUACAACGUCGCCGUCAACGUCCUCAACAGCCUCGACGAGCCGCUCCUCAUCACCUGGGACGGCAUCCAGCAGUGGAAGAACUGCUGGCAGGACGGCAUGCUGGGCUCCAACUGUGGCGUCGGAUGCUGGCAGGUGUUGAAGGGCUUGGUGGCAAUUCUCACGGAGUAA
rnacentral:rRNA from 1 species